ensembl:lncRNA
GAUGCGACCAAUAGGCGACUGAAAGGCAUUUGUCUAGUAAAUAAUAAUGUUACGAAAUUACAUUACGCUGCUUGACAAACAAUUCUAAACUAGGUUUAAAAAUACUGAGAAAUUAAUAAGUUUAAGUAAAAGAUCUGCGCCUUUAACCUUCCGCAGAGCUGUUAAACGCUCUUCUGCAUCCCUGGUCUAGACAUCCUAACUGAUGGAAACGGACAUAAUUUGCAUGGUAUUUGUUUCUACCAUUGCGGUAAAAAUCCCAUAUUCAGACUGGAAACAUUUUGGAAUCAAUAUAAUGUGCAAAAGAUCAUUUAAAAAGAAUAGCGAUCUGACUCUCGAUCCGGAAAUUAGGUAAUAACUGCUACAGGCCUAACUAUUACACUAUUACUCAGACAAUAUUCUGGGUGGUUGGGGCUCUGUGCUGGACAGAAAGCUUUUUUUGUUUUGUUAUCUUAGAAAUUACAACCCCCAGUUAAACCCCCAUAAUCAGAAAUUUUUUUUAAGAACAAGAUGCUGAGAAUGAAGAGAAAAGGCAGAAUUGAUAGGGACAGAGGAAAAGGCCCGGCUAGGAAACGGUUAAAAGUCAAAAGGUUUGAUCUUGUGUAUCCUGAACCACCUGGUCCCCAGACAAGUCAGGUUAACUGUAUGUUGGCUGAUCCUGACUUGGCCAUGCAGACCAGGACAACUUCAGAGAAGCCAAGGAGAGGUGUCCCGCUGCCAACACCGAAGAUGGAGGACAAAGGAACACAAUCUGAUAUUGUGUCUAAAAGGAAAAGGAAGACUGUUUUCCAAGAUUUGGAUUCAGACAACCUCAGGCCUGCUAAGAAGAUCAAGGUGGCCAUUCCAAGCAGCGCAUUGGACCCAGCCAACUCCUCUGACCACUCUGCAUCUACAGCAUACACAUCUGCUAGUAGCGAGCAGGCCGGCUCCAGCUGUUCUGACCUGUGCUCUUUAUGCAAGGCCAAAGCCCGUCGUAACCCUCAUCGUGGAGGCCUGGUUCUUGUGCUCAGGGAAGUCUCCAAAAACUUGAAUAGCCUGAAAUAGCGUGGGAAAUAUGCUGGUACAAGGAGGCUGUGGCUAUGUCUUUGAAGGAACACGAAGGAUAGAUGGGAAAGAAGUAAUUACCAUCCCUCUUAUUCCUUUCUCUUUAGUGUGGUUUGUUCAUAGCAUGAAACAGAACCACAAUUAUGUUGACUAUUAACAAUGUAUUUCUCUCUUCACUUAGGUAGCUAUUAAGUACAUCCCAAAGUGUGAAUUGGACUACAUCACAGUCAUAAGUAGAGUCUGAAUAAUGUUAAUCAGUGAUACCUUACAAGCAAAAGUAAUGUCAUGUAAUUAUGAUUUAGAGCAUCAGCCUGCCUAGCAAACACAUGUACAGUCAAGUCAGACCAAUAUAUAAAUGCACUGCGCUAAAGUCGUUAAAAUGUGUUAUUCAACCUCCUAUUUAGCCUGGAACCAUCUGCCGUCAUCCUCUGGAGGUCGUUCUGAUGCUCUUGGUGAGCCAGCCCCCAGUCUGUGACAAUGUGGUGGAGCUGUUGGACUGGUACGAGCUUCCCCAAAUUAUCGUCCUGGUCCUUGAGCGUCCCACACCCUGCAUGGACCUGUCUGACUACUGCAUGGCCAUGGGAGGGAAGCUGGAUCAGGCCGUAGCGAGGGACAUCAUGCAGCACUGCCAGAGCCGUAGCGUCUUCCACCGCGACAUCAAAAUGGAGAACCUGCUGGUGGAGAACCUGCCGCGACACUAUGAAAGUCAAGCUCAUCGACUUUGGCUGCGGGGAUCUACUGAGAGCUCGGUCUUACCGGGAGAUUGCAGGUACUGCUGAGUACAUUGCCCCUGAGUGGUUUCUGGAAGGAAGAUACCAAGGGAAUGAAGCCACUGUCUGGUCCCUAGGUGUUCUUCUUUUUGGCAUGGUCAACGGUAAGCUGCCCUUCAGGGAGGACUCUGAGAUUGUCAAAGGGUGCAUGCGCUUCAAUAGAGGGAUCUCUAAAGAAUGCAGGAAUUUGGUCCGUUUGUGCCUUAUGAGAGACCCGUGCAAAAGACCCAACCUGGAGCAGAUCCUCUCUCACAGCUGGAUGUCAGACUUGUCAUAACUUGACCCAAAGUCGAACAAUGGUUAGAUGUAAGUGUCCUCUGCUAAUGAUAGACAUUCAUUACUGGUAGUCAUGAAGCAAUGUAAUCUUACCCAUCAAAGCAAAACCUUUAGAAAUUAUUUACAAUUUUCUAACAGAUUCUUCUGCAAUUUUAUAAACUCCCAACCGUACCCAAACUGUCACUUAUCUUGUGUGGACAAUCAAACUCACCUCCAAUGGGAUAAAUUAGGGAUAGCAUAAAACAGACAGAAAUCAACUAAACAUCACAUUUGAUCUUCUGCAAUCAACUGGGAAGGAUAGGAAACUCAAAGCUGCUCUACAAGAAACACUCUUGUGCAACCUGAAGGGAAACUCCAAUUCUAGAACAGGAAAAUACCUUUGCAAGACUCCUCAGUUCUGCUCCUGUUUUGGUGAAGAAGCUUGAAGAGGAGAAUGUAAUAGGGAUGAUACUUGAAGACUUGAAGGUUUUCAUUCUACCCCUUUACAACCUACCUUCGCUUUUUGACUGAAUUCAACAGAGAGGAUACAGAAACUCUCCAUAAAAGAACAACUUAAUAUGUUUCCACAGACUGCACUCAUUCUAACAUCAGUGUUUUAGAACUGAACUGAGAGAGAACUGGACCUUCAGAAAGACACCAAUGUGACCAGUUUGCAUCCUUUGUACUGCACAGACUUUGAGAGAUUGUUAAGGGAUGUGGUUGGAAAUGUUGCUACUUAAGAACUGACAACCAAACUACCCCUUUACAAAACCUUCCCUUUUACUAGCUGAUCGAGGAAUGACAAAGAGUUUUACUACCAUUGAUCAUCCUGGUGCCCAGCUCUCAACCAUUGUGGCCCUGAGUGCGAGUGAUGUCUGCGCAGGGUGUGCGGCAUCAUCAGAGACCCUUCACACCCAUGCCACAAACUGCUUGCCCCCCUACCAUCAGGCAGGCGGUACAGGUCUAUUCGUUCCCACACCAGCAGGCUCAGGAACAGUUUCUUCCCAUCUACUGUAACCCUGCUGAACUUAACAAAAGUUAAGAAAAUAAAUUAAGCAUCUGAAAUUUUUAUGUACCAUUAUAUGUUUGAUAUGAAAUGUUUUCUAUAUAUAUACUGACCUACAAAGGCAAAGGCAAAAGACCUUAACUCGCCAGAGUGUAGAACUGAGAAAAAUGACUUUAAAGUUGUUUUGUUGUCCAGCAGGCAGAAUAUUGGAAAUGUGGCAAUUCGUUGUUUUUUUUAACAAAGUUAUUAAUCUACACAAAAAUCUGGAGCUCAAACUUGACCUUUCACCCUUAUUCGGAAGUUAUUGUACUCAGUCAUUGUGUUGCCUUCAAAAUAAUAAUCAUGCCAAGACAAAAGGCAUCAACUAACAUUUGAUCGCUCACUUAGUUGCUGAUCACCUAAUCCACCUAAUUUUUUACAUGACAAACGUAGACAGAGAUGACAUCGAUCCAACAAAGUAGUUUUACAUGUGGGAGGAUAAUGAUUUGCAACCAUUUU